UAACCCCUUAGCUGCACGCAAAAACUCCGAACAUAAUGGAAAACAAAGAGAACAUUAACGAGUGGCAACAAAUCGAACAAUUCCCCGAACUCUCCGAAUGGAACAUGGUAGUGAUCAACGAAAACUACCUUGUUGGUGACCAAGCUUCUUCCACUAAUAACGAACUCUCAUUGUUACAAAUCGUUCCAACAACGGUGACGGACCCGGAAGUCGACGGAACUUCGUCGCCGUUAACGGUGUCGAGUUCGGAGGGUGAGACGGCGCCGUUAGAUUGGAGGGUGAGGGUGGUUAGCGAAGCCAAGAAGGUGUUGAAGGUGCGAUUGGAGGGUGUGAGAGAGCGCGUUGUUGGGGUGGCUUCUAAGGUUGGUAAUUGGGCAAUGUGUGCGGGGGCGUUUUGGUCAUUUACGCAGGUUGCCGGAGCUGCGGCGGCCGCGGCGGUGUUGCUGUCGCUUGUUUACGUGGGGAUUCGACGGCGGCGGAGGAGGGUUGGUCGGCGGAACGUGGUGGUGGAUCCUUGGGUUUAUCUUCUUAAAGAGAAAGAUGAGGAACCAUACAAUAGGAAACACCCACUCUAAACGGACGGUUUACAGACGACUCCUUCUCCCUCACUGAAACCCCCGUCGCUAAAUUUCACAAUCAGCUUCAAAAAAUCCUAGAAGAUUAGCCAACUCUUAUUUCAGAUUGCACAAUUAAACGAAAUGUUGUCAUCUCGUCGCAAGGUUCUGGUGCAUCAAAUCAACUGAUGCGAGUUUUGUAGUAUUUACGUAGUAUUGUAAAUUGUAUAUGAGCUUGUAACUUUACAUUUACGUAUAAAGGUGAGCAGUAUAAAGGUGCUCACUGCUCAAUAUAUAUCUUCAUAAAUAAAUAGUUGUAUUCUUAUAAAUAAUUCACUGAUUUGAAAUGCAACAUAAACAUAUAUUUAAUCA